rnacentral:rRNA from 1 species
UACGUAGGGGGCAAGCGUUGUCCGGAAUCAUUGGGCGUAAAGCGCGUGUAGGCGGUCCGGUAAGUCCGCUGUGAAAGUCGGGGGCUCAACCCUCGGAUGCCGGUGGAUACUGUCGGGCUUGAGUACGGAAGAGGCGAGUGGAAUUCCUGGUGUAGCGGUGAAAUGCGCAGAUAUCAGGAGGAACACCAAUUGCGAAGGCAGCUCGCUGGGACGUUACUGACGCUGAGACGCGAAAGCGUGGGGAGCAAACA